ensembl:lncRNA SNHG11 small nucleolar RNA host gene 11
GUAUUUCCGCGGGCGCUGAGCACUAGAGAGAGCGUCUUGUGGCUGCGGCCUGCCCCUCAGCCUCCUCCGCGCGGUUACCCCUGUACCCGCCGCCAUCCGUCCUGGCGCUCCGGAUGAGUCAAUGAGGGGCAGGGCCCGAGGAGUGGUCUUCCCAAGAACCCCUGGUGGCCUCCCAAGGCCGGUGCUGUGUACCUCCUCCCCGACAAAAGGGGAAACUGAGGCCCCGAGGGGAGUGGGAAGAGCCGGCUGGACGUCAGGCCCAGCCGCUGGUGCAGUGGUCCGUCCCCUCUGCCGGGGUGGGCCCCUCGGGUUUCGCGUGUCCUCGGGAAAGAGACUGGCGGGCCUCGUGGGCUGUGCGGCUAUCCUGGAGACAGAUGACAGCUCUCCCUUGGAUGGCUUUGCUGGUUCCGCACCAGCCAGCGCCCCCAUUUUUCCUGCAGCACCCUGAUCUGCACUCCCUGAGGGGCUCCCACUGUCCGCGGUGUGAGGAUGUCCCUGGAUAGUCCACUGUGUGCAGAGGCAUGGGAGUUGUCAUGUUGGGAACAUGCUAGACCUCAGUAUCCUUGAGGGAUGCUGCCUUGGGUCUGGAAACUGUUAGAGGAAACCCCAAGAGGUGCAGGCACUGAGCCUCUCAGGACAAUGACCUGGGGUCCCAGCUCCCCUGGAGGGGCCUCCUCAUGGUAAGUGAAUGCCAAGAGGUUAAGUUGGCCUGUGUUUCCGAGGUGGAAAUUCCAGGUCGCUGGCUUCAUUUGUCUUCUCUUUUAGAUUGUUUGGGGGUUGAUCACAGACCAAGAGUGACGAGUGAUGUCACCCUGUGACUCAUGGCUGGACCUUCUUGCCCCUAUUGUCUCAGCACAACAUUAUUCGACUUUUCCCUCAGCGUGGGUGGGCAGAGGAAAAGCCCUGUGGCUCUGGGGACUUGGGAUCCAGAGUUGAAGACCCUUCAGCUGGCUCUGCCCUGCCAGUGCCACAGAGUGCCAUGGCCCAGGAAGACAGGUUUUCUUCCAUCUAGGCCAGGCCAUCCAGUGGCCAUCCUCCGUGUCCUCCCGCCUCCUCCUGGUGUGACUUCUGAAAACCAAGAAUUUGUUCCUGUUGACUUUUUCUGUGCUAUGGACCAUUGUCCUCUCACCCACUCAAUAAAUCUUGAAACAUGCCCUGCU